AGAGAGAGAGAGAGAGAGAGAGAGAGAGAGAGAGAGAGAGAGAGAGAGAGCGAGAAAGAGGGAGCAGGGAGAGGUUGUGAUGGAACAGCAGGUUGUGUCUCCCCUGGGUACAGGGGGUUUCACCGCUCUGCAGAGGACAAAGGGAGAGUGUGUGUGUGUGUGUGUGUGUGUGUGUGCGUGUGUGCGUGCAUGCGUGUCGUGUGUGUGUGUGUGUAUGUGUGGCCCCUGCCCUACUGUGCGGUACAGUACCACCCACAAUGACAGACCCCACUCUGCCGUGCUCAAUGUCACGCCUGUCAAUCAAAAACACCCCCUCAGCCAAUGGAAACCCUCCCUCUCUCUGUCUGUGAGCCAAUGAGGUCAGAGCAAUGGCAAAGAUGUGUUCCAGAACGAUACAAUGGAAUGCGUCCCAAAUGGCGUCCUAUUCCCUUAUAUAGCGCACUACUCUUGACAACGACUCAUACAAGGACUCUGGUCAAAAGUAGUGCACUACAUAAGGGAAUAGGACGCCAUUUGGGACGAAGUCACUGUCAACAGAAAAGACCGUCACCCGGUAGAGUAGGUUGAGUUAUCUUAGGGAAUGCUGGUAGCCAGUGUUUCACCACAUGCUACUUGUUUCAAUGAAUCCCACAGUAAAUAAAAGGGUGAUUUGAGUCCCUGACUACCAUUUGGACCAUGCUGUUUCUAUGCCGAUACGAAGCGUAGCAUGUAUCCCAAACAGCACCCUGUUUCCCCUUUUGUGGUGCAGCUACUUGCUCAAAAAGCAGUGCACUAAAUAGGGAAUAGGGUUGCUGUUUAGGACGUUACCUCUGUGUCCUUGUGUAGUUGAGUUGAAGGGCUUUAGAUGGAGUGGAGAUGAUAACUGUAUUCACUUCCUCUUGGGGAAUGUCUGUCCAACGGUCGAUAUUUCUUCAAAAUUGACACUAGCAGGGUGUGGGUCGGUGUGUGUGUGUGUGUGUGUGCGUGUGUGUGUGUGUGUGUGUGUGUGUGCAAAGAAAAAAGUUAUCGUAAGAAUGAAAACAGAGACUGGAGUACCAGAGAAAGUUUCUGAGAUUCAGUUCAUCACAGUUAGAAGUCACUAUUGUCUUAAAUUAAACAGAUUUCUGACAUAUUUCAUGAUGAUUGGGUGCUAGUCUUAAAUUAAACAGAUUUCUGACAUAUUUCAUGAUGAUUGGGUGCUAGUCUUAAAUUAAACAGAUUUCUGACAUAUUUCAUGAUGAUUGGGUGCUAGUCUUAAAUUAAACAGAUUUCUGACAUAUUUCAUGAUGAUUGGGUGCUAGUCUUAAAUUAAACAGAUUUCUGACAUACUUCAUGAUGAUUGGGUGCUAGUCUUAAAUUAAACAGAUUUCUGACAUAUAUCAUGAUGAUUGGGUGCUAGUCUUAAAUUAAACAGAUUUCUGACAUAUUUCAUGAUGAUUGAGUGCUAGUCUUAAAUUAAACAGAUUUCUGACAUAUAUCAUGAUGAUUGGGUGCUAGUCUUAAAUUAAACAGAUUUCUGACAUAUUUCAUGAUGAUUGGGUGCUAGUCUUAAAUUAAACAGAUUUCUGACAUAUAUCAUGAUGAUUGGGUGCUAGUCUUAAAUUAAACAGAUUUCUGACAUAUAUCAUGAUGAUUGGGUGCUAGUCUUAAAUUAAACAGAUUUCUGACAUAUUUCAUGAUGAUUGAGUGCUAGUCUUAAAUUAAACAGAUUUCUGACAUAUAUCAUGAUGAUUGGGUGCUAGUCUUAAAUUAAACAGAUUUCUGACAUAUAUCAUGAUGAUUGAGUGCUAGUCUUAAAUUAAACAGAUUUCUGACAUAUAUCAUGAUGAUUGAGUGCUAGUCUUAAAUUAAACAGAUUUCUGACAUAUAUCAUGAUGAUUGAGUGCUAGUCUUAAAUUAAACAGAUUUCUGACAUAUAUCAUGAUGAUUGAGUGCUAGUCUUAAAUUAAACAGAUUUCUGACAUAUAUCAUGAUGAUUGAGUGCUAGUCUUAAAUUAAAGCGAUUUCUGACAUAUUUCAUGAUGAUUGGGUGCUAGUCUUAAAUUAAACAGAUUUCUGACAUAUUUCAUGAUGAUUGGGUGCUAGUCUAGCCUUCUGCUAUAUGACUGUGUUUGGGUUUUCUGUGCUUGAUUAAGUAGCCUGUCUGACUGAGUUGCUGCUCUAAAAAUCUGUAUUCCGAUUGGUUGUCCUGGCCUAACUCACUUCCUGUUCAUUGUCCAAUUUGGAUUGUGUAAUGAUGGUCAUGGGGGGGGGGUGUGGCCAGGUUGGUUUGGCUCCAGGAAAGAACCUCCAUUUGGGCUCCAGCUAUGGGGCGGCCAUUUUGUGUCUGUGUGGAUCAGUGGCACUGAGGCCCAUGAGACUCGGGGUCGCUGGACUUGUUUUAGUGACACAUGGUCAGAAGGGGAGUGUUAGUGAUGUGUGGUCAGUCGGGGAGUGUUAGUGAUGUGUGGUCAGUAGGGGGAGUGUUAGUGAUGUGUGGUCAGUGGGGGAGUGUUAGUGAUGUGUGGUCAGUAGGGGAGUGUUAGUGAUGUGUGGUCAGUAGGGGGAGUGUUAGUGAUGUGUGGUUAGUAGGGGAGUGUUAGUGAUGUGUGGUCAGUAGGGGGAGUGUUAGUGAUGUGUGGUCAGUAGGGGAGUGUUAGUGAUGUGUGGUCAGUAGGGGGAGUGUUAGUGAUGUGUGGUCAGUAGGGGAGUGUUAGUGAUGUGUGGUCAGUAGGGGAGUGUUAGUGAUGUGUGGUCAGUAGGGGAGUGUUAGUGAUGUGUGGUCAGUAGGGGAGUGUUAGUGAUGUGUGGUCAGUAGGGGAGUGUUAGUGAUGUGUGGUCAGUGGGGGAGUGUUAGUGAUGUGUGGUCAGUCGGGGAGUGUUAGUGAUGUGUGGUCAGUAGGGGAGUGUUAGUGAUGUGUGGUCAGUGGGGGGAGUGUUAGUGAUGUGUGGUCAGUAGGGGAGUGUUAGUGAUGUGUGGUCAGUAGGGGAGUGUUAGUGAUGUGUGGUCAGUAGGGGAGUGUUAGUGAUGUGUGGUCAGUAGGGGAGUGUUAGUGAUGUGUGGUCAGUAGGGGAGUGUUAGUGAUGUGUGGUCAGUAGGGGAGUGUUAGUGAUGUGUGGUCAGUAGGGGGAGUGUUAGUGAUGUGUGGUCAGUAGGGGAGUGUUAGUGAUGUGUGGUCAGUAGGGGAGUGUUAGUGAUGUGUGGUCAGUAGGGGAGUGUUAGUGAUGUGUGGUCAGUAGGGGAGUGUUAGUGAUGUGUGGUCAGUAGGGGAGUGUUAGUGAUGUGUGGUCAGUAGGGGAGUGUUAGUGAUGUGUGGUCAGUAGGGGAGUGUUAGUGAUGUGUGGUCAGUAGUAGGGGAGUGUUAGUGAUGUGUGGUCAGUAGGGGGAGUGUUAGUGAUGUGUGGUCAGUAGGGGAGUGUUAGUGAUGUGUGGUCAGUAGGGGAGUGUUAGUGAUGUGUGGUCAGUAGGGGAGUGUUAGUGAUGUGUGGUCAGUAGGGGAGUGUUAGUGAUGUGUGGUCAGUAGGGGAGUGUUAGUGAUGUGUGGUCAGUAGGGGAGUGUUAGUGAUGUGUGGUCAGUAGGGGAGUGUUAGUGAUGUGUGGUCAGUAGGGGAGUGUUAGUGAUGUGUGGUCAGUAGGGGAGUGUUAGUGAUGUGUGGUCAGUAGGGGAGUGUUAGUGAUGUGUGGUCAGUAGGGGAGUGUUAGUGAUGUGUGGUCAGCAGGGGGAGGGAUCAGGUAUAAAACUAAAGGCACCUUAUUUUGUCAGCUGGUGAGUUUCAGGAUCUAAUGCCUCAGAAUCAAGAGAGCGAGAACGUUAAGGACGGGUUCCACUACAGAGUUAGAGGUUAGUAGAACGGACAAAGACAAAGCCUGCGUCCCAAACCGCCCCCUAUUCCCCAUGUAGUGCACUAGCUGCUUUUGCAGGAAAAAAGGGGGUGCCAUUUGAGAUACAGGGUGUGAAAUCUGGUACACCCAAAACAUUGGCAAAACAGUGGAGGUUUGUUGUUGCUUGCUGCUCAGACCACAGAGUCGGGAUGAGGCUCCGAAUGAGCUGAGUCAGUUCGUCACAACAUUCCCAAUCACUCAUCCAAUAUGCCCCGCCAUACAGUGCACUGUAGCUAUCCAUUACCUUUUCUAGUGGUUCUAGAAUGUCCCUUCUAGUGGUUCUAGAAUGUCCCUUCUAGUGGUUCUAGAAUGUCCCUUCUAGUGGUUCUAGAAUGUCCCUUCUACUGGUUCUAGAAUGUCCCUUCUACUGGUUCUAGAAUGUCCCUUCUAGUGGUUCUAGAAUGUCCCUUCUAGUGGUUCUAGAAUGUCCCUUCUACUGGUUCUAGAAUGUCCGUUCUAGUAAUUCUAAUUCCACAGGGUUGACCCAUAUAGAGCACGCGUGGCGAUCCACAGUAAGGGAUUUCUUUUAGAGUUGCGUACAAACAACUUUAUUAAGGUCUACAAACGUGUAAGUAAAUGAUUAUUUUCUAUCACUAUUUAUCUUUACAACAGAGAUUUAAAACACACUUUGUUCAGUAGUUUCCAUAGCUAUAUGUUAUAUAUCUUUAUGUUCUGUUUUGGCUUCUUUCAACCAGGCAGCUACAACUAUGUUCAGACACACACACACACACACACACACACACACACACACACACACACACACACACACACACACACACACACACACACACAGAGAGAGUAUCCAAAACGAAAAAAAGAAAAGUCUCUCAGACAGACGAAGGCUAAAAACAACAUUGUAGCGUCCACGCACUACGUUCAGACACACACA